CUUAGCCUAUUUUCACCGGAAGAUUCCGCCAAAGCCACCAGGACGGUAACCGUCCUAGAGAACUGACUUGUAACUCAAUUCAACAGAAAAAGAAUGCAUGUUAAGUGCCAGAAUAUAUCUAUGCUAGGAUAUAAAGGAAGAGCAAUAUUUUGCACAUUCUCCAGAAUAGGGAUGAUCCCUAAGGGAGAUAUCAAAGAGUUGGGUAUUCUAAUACUAGGAGGCAGCGUCCGUUCUGCCUAGAGAGCAGAUGUGACUGUUUAGAACUCUUUGUUGAGCGAAUAAACUGGGGAGAAGGGCAAGGUUAAGUCCGACGCAUUUUCAGAUCCGCCACCAUUUACCUUAGGACCUGGAGAAAAGACUGUUUCAGUUAGCUAGCUUGAAGGCCUGCUUGGGAAGCAAGAUAGACAAGGAUUUUUUUUCCCCAUCCUCUAGCCUCACGCCUUAUUUUUCUUUCACAAUUCUGGCCAAAGAAAGCAGUAACUCAUAAUCAGAAGAGAAUUUAUCAUGAAGUUAAUUAAGCUGUGUACCUAAUUUUGUAUCUGUCAUCGUGUAUUCUUAAAAGAAGACUCCGACAUUGUAUAAGUUCUGGAUCUGAACAAAACCUGGAUAAACUCUGGUGCUUUAUUAACUUGAUGAAGAUUAGUGACACUGAGGAAUACUGAGGAACCAGGCUCUAUUCCACCCCAUCCCCUUCAUACACACCUCAUUCCAAAUGCUAUCCUGUCACAGCAGAUGCCACAUCACUUUUGGGGUGGGCUAAGAGAUCAAGAUACACCUACAUUACCAUUUCAAGAGCAACUCAUGGAAGCAUCAGUCCUUUUCAUCUGUCAUUUUACAAGUAGGAAAACUUCAGCUUCUCAAGUGGGCUGGUUCUGUGAUCGACUUCUCUCAGUCUUGAAGAAAACACUGGAAAUUUUUAUGUGGUAAAUAGUUUCCCAAAGUCAGCUGCAAACCAACACUGAAGUGAAAGUUUUCCUAAAUCCUGGAUAGUCCCAUGUUUGGCCCUGAGCCCAUUAUGUGUGAUUUUAUGUUCAAGAUCCUUAAAAUCUGGAUGCUUCAUUUUGCAACCCCAUUGUACCUAACAGGGUGCUGGGCCAUAGAGGAUGUAGAACUUGGGGCAAAUCCUCUAAGAUGGUGAUGCAGAAGGCAGUCACCACCCCAGACACAGGUGGAACAAAUUCUUAGGGUGCUGAGUCUCCAGAGCACCAAAUCACUGCUGCUCACUUGACAACAUCUAAUUAAAGGGAAGGAACUAGCAUUUUCUGAACACUAAACUAAGUGCAUGGGUUUUUCAUGUAUUUAUCCAUUCGAAUGUGAAAGGUUUCGUGAGAAGGAUUACCAUACCCAAAGAGAUAAAACUCUGGAAUGCAGCUGAGUGUGGGCUAAGCAGUGAUUGCUAGUGAUCCUCAAUGUUGCUCUCCAUCUUCUAUGCUUCUGUGCCCUUUAGCUGGGCAUGUGGCCACAUAGUAUAAAUAUUUUUCAGUCUCUUUCAUGUCUUGGACCUGCCACAUGCAAGUUUUCUGUAAUCUACUAGAUGCAUACAUAGGACUAAGUUGUAGCCAUUGUAAUUAUAAGCAAAAAUAAUAUGUGCAAUUUCUGGUAUGGAUCCUUAAAAAGGAGGGUAGGUGGUAUGUCCUUCCAAUCCUUCUCCCUUUCUUCUAGUUGGAAUAUGGAGCUCCAGCAGGUACUUGGACCAUGAGUUAACCUUGAGGGUGGAAGACAUUCACAAUGAAACAGUAAAAUAGAAGAACCCCGAGCUCCAGAGAGCCCUAGCAACCCUAGACUGAUUACCUCUAGAUUACUUAGAGGUGAGAGAAAAACAAACUACUUAGUUAUUAUUUUGCCACUGUUAUUUUGCUUUUUUCUGUUAUGUGCAUCCAAACUAACUGGGGUACAACCUACCACCAUUAACCACUGGAUUUCAGACUUUUUUUCUUUUU
rnacentral:lncRNA from 1 species